CGAGAUUUCGAAUAAAUGUAUUUCGUGGAAUUGAACUUUAUAUAUUGAUGAAUAUUGUGCAUACAACCUCUAGUAUUUACUCCUUUGAUGCUUUCUCUCGAAUACAAGUUAAAACUUAUAACUUUUUGAUCUUCGAUCUUUAGGAUAUUGUAGUUGCAAGUUGAUUUGAACUUCGAUCUUAUGGAAUCCAAGGAAAGUUUAAUCUUCCAACUUUCAGAAGUUGUUGAUCUCCAGGUUGAUAUGAACUUUGACGUCUUGAGAGCUUGUAGAAGUUUGAAUCUUCAAUUCUUCAGUACUUCAGAGGUUCAAUUCUUUAUUCAACCAAAGACCCCUUUUAAAAUGAAUGGCAAUGGUCUCUAUUUAUAGAGAAAUUUCAUGGGCUUUAGGUGAACUUGGGCUCAUUUGCUUGCUAGACUUGGACUUGGGCCCAUUUGAUUGUUGGGCUUGGAC
rnacentral:lncRNA from 1 species